rnacentral:rRNA from 1 species
AGCGAACGCUGGCGGCAGGCCUAACACAUGCAAGUCGAACGAACUCUUCGGAGUUAGUGGCGGACGGGUGAGUAACACGUGGGAACGUGCCUUUUGGUUCGGAAUAACUCAGGGAGACUUGUGCUAAUACCGAAUGUGCCCUUCGGGGGAAAGAUUUAUCGCCAUUAGAGCGGCCCGCGUCUGAUUAGCUAGUUGGUGAGGUAACGGCUCACCAAGGCGACGAUCAGUAGCUGGUCUGAGAGGAUGACCAGCCACACUGGGACUGAGACACGGCCCAGACUCCUACGGGAGGCAGCAGUGGGGAAUCUUGCGCAAUGGGCGAAAGCCUGACGCAGCCAUGCCGCGUGAAUGAUGAGGGUCUUAGGAUUGUAAAAUUCUUUCACCGGGGACGAUAAUGACGGUACCCGGAGAAGAAGCCCCGGCUAACUUCGUG